rnacentral:rRNA from 1 species
UACGUAGGGACCAAGCGUUGUUCGGAUUUACUGGGCGUAAAGGGCGCGUAGGCGGCGCGGUAAGUCACUUGUGAAAUCUCUGAGCUUAACUCAGAACGGCCAAGUGAUACUGCAGUGCUAGAGUGUGGAAGGGGCAAUCGGAAUUCUUGGUGUAGCGGUGAAAUGCGUAGAUAUCAGGAGGAACACCAAUAGCGAAGGCAGCUCGCUGGGACGUUACUGACACUGAGGCGCGAAAGCGUGGGGAGCGAACAGG